GUCAGGAUGUUCUCCCCUCUAAGGAGCUCUGGCUGCUGCUCACCCCAGCUUUGCAUUGUGCUUUCUUUGCCAAAAUCUGCCUUCUGCUCCUCCUCCUCCAUCUCUAGCCUCACCUUCUGGAUCCCAUCCCAGUUUCAUAAUUUAACUCUCUGCCCUGCCAGUCAAAGCACCAAGUGCUCCUGGCUUGUUUGUGACAAGGCUCAGUCUGCAUGCAAAGAGUGGGGGCCACCUGAUGGUCUGAACAAACUGGGAAGGAAACCAGGCAUUUCUCCAGAGCAGGAAAACUCUCUGGAGAGGAUGGCUCAGCGCAGCAGACGUGGGCCACAUUUUCUGUCCAGAUACUUCUAGAAGAAUCCCAGACAUCUUUGGAGAGUGUGAAUUGGAGGAAAGUUUGUCCCCUGGAUAUAGUGGAGAUGCCAUCACCAACAUGUAAAUACGAUUCAUGCAUCUGCAGGCACCCCAGAGACCACUGGUCAGACUACCAUUUCCCGAAGCCCAGGUAAAAAUAUUUCCUUUACUAUACAGCCCUAGAGGGAGAGGAGAAACCCAAAACACAGCUUGCUUUCCACAGAGCCAUUUCAUUUGAAAUAGUCAGUUUUAUAUUACUGCUUAGCCAUGAGAGUGUUUCUGAUUGUGUCACUCUCCAUUACUGUACAUUUAAUAAAGAAAAAUGUGUGCUUUUGAAAAAGCCA
rnacentral:lncRNA from 1 species